rnacentral:lncRNA from 1 species
UUUAAUAACUUUCCCUUCAAACUCCAUAGUUAAUGUGCCAUCAUGCACAUCAAUCUUAGUCCUAGUAGUACUCAAGAAAGGACGUCCAAGAAGAAUGUCAGAAGUAGUGUUACAACUGUCUUCCUUAGUAUCAAUCAUGUAAAAGUCUGCAGGAAAAACAAGUUCAUCUACUUGCACUAGAAUAUCUUCUAGCACUCCUAUGGGAUGUACCACAGAUCUGUCAGCCAAUUGAAUGACUACUCUUGUGUCUUUCAG